rnacentral:ncRNA from 1 species
UUAUCAGAGAGUUUGAUCCUGGCUCAGGAUGAACGCUGGCGGCGUGCCUAACACAUGCAAGUCGAGCGAAGCACUUAACUUAGAUUCUUCGGAUGAAGAGUUUUGUGACUGAGCGGCGGACGGGUGAGUAACACGUAGGUAACCUGCCUCACACAGGGGGAUAACAGUUAGAAAUGACUGCUAAUACCGCAUAAGCGCACAGGGCUGCAUGGCCCAGUGUGAAAAGCUCCGGCGGUGUGAGAUGGACCUGCGUCUGAUUAGCCAGUUGGCGGGGUAACGGCCCACCAAAGCGACGAUCAGUAGCCGGCCUGAGAGGGUGGACGGCCACAUUGGGA